AAUGGUUGAAAAACCAAAGAAAAAACAACACCGCCUCACGUGUGAUGGACGAGGCACAAAUGCUGCUGGAAAAACUGCACACUUUGGGCCACAGAGCUGUGGUGUUUCUAGCUCGGCCAGGCAAGAAACCUGGCACUUGGUCCAGUCAGGUGGUCCACUCCAAGUGGCAUCUGACUGACCAUGCCAGCAAGUGCCUGGACCGGAUGAAGGACCUAUAUAUGGCGGUUGUUAGAGGUUGGACAGAUAUGCAGACAUCAACC